GUUCGUGACAUCGGCUCAGCUUGAAGAUGGCGCCUGUAAGCUUGCCUUCCUUCAUAUUUCUGACGUGGUGCUCUUCCUCCCUCGGUUCGCAAGAUGCUGCUACACCAAACCCAGAAGUAUUGGUUGGCAAGAUGCUUCAGGGUACCGAGCCUCUCGUAUUGCUCUUCGGAAGUCAAAUGCCAGAAAGCGUUAAGGAACACCCCUGCUUUACUUCCCUAAAGAUAUCCAAUGUAGGAACUGGUUUCUACCACAAAGUAGAAGCCAG